rnacentral:lncRNA from 13 species
GACUUUGGUUCCUGGAGGGGUUCCAAUCUGAAUUUGGGGAAUUCAUCAGCAGGAAAACAAAUAGCUGGCAGGCUCUGUAUUUACUCUGCCCUUCUCAAGGUUGCAACAUAAAUCUCCCAACUUGGAAAGCAUUAAGGCCGAGGAGACAUUUUGUGAGUUCAGGGCCUCUCCUCCGGUCUGCAUGAACCACGUCUACUCUCAUUUCGGGAAAACACCGGCCCCAACCCUCAAGGUGCUGCUGGAGACAGUACUGACACUGUUUGACUUGCUCAGGGCAGACUGGGGAAAUGAGAGCUGGAAAACUUGAGUUCUCCAAGUGAGAGCUGUUAUUCUGCUGUGGAAAAAACCCACUUAUGCCAGGGGAAUGAAAGCCCUGAGAAGUUCUCACUGGGCAGGACCGUAGAGCAGAGAAGACACUGGAGCUUUGGUGCUUGGAAAGACCUCCCUGAAAUCCUGGCUUGGCCACUGCCAACCUUAGCCUGUCAGCUCCACAAGGGCAGGACUGUGACCCGCUGAUAGCCAUGUGAACCUUUCACCAUGGUUCAUGUGCAUGGAAGGUGCUAGAAAAUAGCCAUCAAAUGAAGGACAAGAAGAAUGGCUGGGGACAGCUCUGGCGACAUCUUCUUGCUUUAGUGACGACAAAACUGAAAAAUGUUGGGCUCUCAUGCUGCCCAAACAUUCCACAGACAAGGACCAAGUACUGGGCUGGCUGGGGAAGUCCGGAAAAGAACAUCAUUGCUGACAUCAAGAAGGCCCUAGAAGGGGAGACAGGGGAGUAAACACCUGCCAUGGAAGGUGCCAAGUGCUAUGGU